rnacentral:tRNA from 4 species
GGGCGGUUAGCUCAGCGGUAGAGCACUUGCUCGACACGCAAGGGGUCACAGGUUCAAUCCCUGUACCGCCCACCA